GACGAACGCUGGCGGCGUGCUUAACACAUGCAAGUCGAACGGAAAGGCCCUGCUUUUUUGGGGUGCUCGAGUGGCGAACGGGUGAGUAACCCGUGAGUAACCUGCCCUUGACUUUGGGAUAUCUUCAGGCAACUGGGGCUAAUACCGGAUAGGAGCUCCUGCUGCAUGGUGGGGGUUGGAAAGUUUCGGAGGUUGGGGAUGGACUGGCGGCUUAUCAGCUUGUUGGUGGGGUAGUGGCUUACCAAGGCUUUGACGGGUAGCCGGCCCGGGAGGGUGACCGGCCACAUUGGGACUGCGAUACGGCCCAGACGCCUACGGGGGGCAGCAGUGGGGAAUAUUGCACAGUGGGCGGAAGCCUGAUGCAGCAACGCCGCGUGCGGGAUGACGGCCUUCGGGUUGUAAACCGCUUUCGCCUGUGACGAAGCGUGAGUGACGGUAAUGGGUGAAGAAGCACCGGCUAACUACGUG
rnacentral:rRNA from 1 species